AUGAACGCUAGCUACAGGCUUAACACAUGCAAGUCGAGGGGCAGCAUGGUCUUAGCUUGCUAAGGCCGAUGGCGACCGGCGCACGGGUGAGUAACACGUAUCCAACCUGCCGUCUACUCUUGGACAGCCUUCUGAAAGGAAGAUUAAUACAAGAUGGCAUCAUGAGUCCGCAUGUUCACAUGAUUAAAGGUAUUCCGGUAGACGAUGGGGAUGCGUUCCAUUAGAUAGUAGGCGGGGUAACGGCCCACCUAGUCUUCGAUGGAUAGGGGUUCUGAGAGGAAGGUCCCCCACAUUGGAACUGAGACACGGUCCAAACUCCUACGGGAGGCAGCAGUGAGGAAUAUUGGUCAAUGGGCGAGAGCCUGAACCAGCCAAGUAGCGUGAAGGAUGACUGCCCUAUGGGUUGUAAACUUCUUUUAUAAAGGAAUAAAGUCGGGUAUGGAUACCCGUUUGCAUGUACUUUAUGAAUAAGGAUCGGCUAACUCCGUGCCAGCAGCCGCGGUAAUACGGAGGAUCCGAGCGUUAUCCGGAUUUAUUGGGUUUAAAGGGAGCGUAGAUGGAUGUUUAAGUCAGUUGUGAAAGUUUGCGGCUCAACCGUAAAAUUGCAGUUGAUACUGGAUAUCUUGAGUGCAGUUGAGGCAGGCGGAAUUCGUGGUGUAGCGGUGAAAUGCUUAGAUAUCACGAAGAACUCCGAUUGCGAAGGCAGCCUGCUAAGCUGCAACUGACAUUGAGGCUCGAAAGUGUGGGUAUCAAACAGGAUUAGAUACCCUGGUAGUCCACACGGUAAACGAUGAAUACUCGCUGUUUGCGAUAUACAGCAAGCGGCCAAGCGAAAGCGUUAAGUAUUCCACCUGGGGAGUACGCCGGCAACGGUGAAACUCAAAGGAAUUGACGGGGGCCCGCACAAGCGGAGGAACAUGUGGUUUAAUUCGAUGAUACGCGAGGAACCUUACCCGGGCUUAAAUUGCAGAUGAAUUACGGUGAAAGCCGUAAGCCGCAAGGCAUCUGUGAAGGUGCUGCAUGGUUGUCGUCAGCUCGUGCCGUGAGGUGUCGGCUUAAGUGCCAUAACGAGCGCAACCCUUGUUGUCAGUUACUAACAGGUUCCGCUGAGGACUCUGACAAGACUGCCAUCGUAAGAUGUGAGGAAGGUGGGGAUGACGUCAAAUCAGCACGGCCCUUACGUCCGGGGCUACACACGUGUUACAAUGGGGGGUACAGAGGGCCGCUACCACGCGAGUGGAUGCCAAUCCCAAAAACCUCUCUCAGUUCGGACUGGAGUCUGCAACCCGACUCCACGAAGCUGGAUUCGCUAGUAAUUGCGCAUCAGCCACGGCGCGGUGAAUACGUUCCCGGGCCUUGUACACACCGCCCGUCAAGCCAUGGGAGCCGGGGGUACCUGAAGUGCGUAACCGCGAGGAGCGCCCUAGGGUAAAACUGGUGACUGGGGCU
rnacentral:rRNA from 1 species